rnacentral:rRNA from 1 species
UACGUAGGGUGCAAGCGUUGUCCGGAAUUAUUGGGCGUAAAGAGCUCGUAGGCGGUUUGUCGCGUCGGCUGUGAAAACUCGGGCUCAACCCCGAGCCUGCAGUCGAUACGGGCAAACUAGAGUGUGGUAGGGGAGACUGGAAUUCCCGGUGUAGCGGUGAAAUGCGCAGAUAUCGGGAGGAACACCGGUGGCGAAGGCGGUUCUCUGGGCCUUACCUGACGCUGGAGGAGCGAAAGCGUGGGGAGCGAACAGG